CUUAUAAGGUGUUUGACAUAAAUAGCUUUUAUUAUGUAACUCUUAAAUAGAAGGCAUACACACAUUUCUUAAAGGUCCCAGCUGCCACUGUUAUCACUGGAGGCAUAAAAUUGGAAUCCCAACUUCCAAUAUCAAAUUUUAGCACAAGUCCUAUAAAAUGUAUCUUGUCAGAACGUGCCAGAACCGCUAAGCUCUUUUCUGCAGAACAAGCUGCAGCUGGCGUCCUCAGGGGUCGAGAAUCAGCUUGCUGCAUCCUCAGGGUUUAGGCAGCAAAUUGGUCCCAGUUUUUCCCCUGCCACGGGGCUGGCUGGGGAGGGCAGGGGUUUAGAUUAGCCGUGGCCUAGGCCGUUUGACGGGGUGACACGAGCCUGCAGGGCCGAGGCCAAGGCCUGGAGAUAGGACCAACCGUCAGGAAUGCGAGGAAUGUUUUUCUUCGGACUCUAUCGAGGCACACAGACAGACCAUGGGGAUUGUGUCUGCAGUGACAGCCUUAACAUUUGCCAGAGCCCUGGACGGCUGCAGAAAUGGCAUUGCCCACCCUGCAAGUGAGAAGCUACACAGACGUGAGGACACACAAUGCAAACGUUAUGUGGCAGCUUUGGGAGAGGCUUUUUAUGCCUGUCUCUUUCCACUCGCAGCAGAUUCGAGAAAUGUGCAGAACUCGAGAGCAGCCACUCGGCCUCCAGGAUCAACCCGGCACUGAAGAAAAGCCCAGAGAAAUUAUUCCUCAGCCCGAAACGAAGCCGGGAUCAAAUGGUUGCUGAUCAGAGCAAAUAUUUAAAUUGAGAAAGUCAAAUUGAGCAUUAUUAAAUAAAGCUUGUUUUACAUGUCUCAAACAGAAA